rnacentral:rRNA from 1 species
UACGUAGGGGGCGAGCGUUGUCCGAAUUCACUGGGCGUAAAGCGCGCGUAGGCGGACUUUUAAGUCAGGGGUGAAAUGCCGAGGCUCAACCUCGGAACUGCCUUUGAAACUGGGAGUCUUGAGGUAUGGAGAGGGAAGUGGAAUUCCAGUUGUAGCGGUGAAAUGCGUAGAUAUCUGGAGGAACACCGGUGGCGAAGGCGGCUUCCUGGCCAUAUCCUGACGCUGAGGUGCGAAAGCUAGGGGAGCGAACGGG